UGGAGAUCCCUGCCUUCCUGAGGCCUGCUGAUGGUUUCCCAAGUAUUGUUUAUAGGAAAGCAAACCAGAUCUCCUUUUCUCCUUACAAUGUGCCUCACCUCGAACAUGAAAACUGAAAGAUAAGGCAGCCACCUUAAGCAAACCUGCCCUGAGAUAGAAAAUACAAGAACCUUUCAAGGACUCAGCUUCAGGAACCCUUUGGCACAGGAACUAAGACUCACCCAUUCUUGAGAGCCCAUCUGGGAAUGCAUUAUCUCCAGAUCAUCAGCACACACUGAUGGAAAAUCUUGAUCUGUAACAAGAAGUGCGGAGAGGUGAGCCUUGAUCUCUGCAGCUUCAGGGGCUGCAGGCCAAGCCAGGAGAGUGCAGCACCUUCUGCUCAGGCGGCCCUGCAGUCACUGGCAUUGCGAGAAACUGCGUCAAAAGUCUUCCUGGGAUGCAGAAAUUUCUACUGAAUCACAUAAGACUUUAAUUGCUUCAGAGCCCAAAUAGCUUCUACACAGCCAACCCUGAGAUCUCACAUUGUGGAUGAAAUCUUUUUUUAAUCCCUUCUUAUCUGUACAGUUGGGGAUUCAUUCAUAAAAGGCUUUGAGUGUUUGACCCCAGACGUGCCCCAGUGCAGAGGGAAUCUCUCACUCUCAUAUCAGGUUGGGAUGUCUUUUACUGUCAUAAUUUAAGUGCACUUUGCACUGCUCCCAGGGUCACAAGUUGCUGUGCUCCCUGUCUUUCCUACGGCCGCUCUCCUGUGGAAGCUACCAGGAGAACUCGCUAGAUAGGAAGGAAAGAAAGAGCUAAGUAAUUAAGAAGCAAGUGUGCAUCUGUCUCAGGCCACUUGCCAAGCAUAAUGUGGUGGGGGGAAAAAUCUGCUGCUGUUAGAAACUGCUCCUGUUGAACUUGCGUACUCCAGUAGCAUGGGUGACAGAUGCCGCACAGUGAGGUCUUGGGACUUUCUGUGCCCACCUAAUGAUGAGGACAUCGUGGGGUUUGUCAGACCACAAACAUGCUGAAGGUUCCUGAGGUUUAGAUAGCUCUGAACAGGUCUCUGAUUUACUUAAGCUGCCUCCCUGUCAGAAUACAGUUGCAUGUACGAAAUAAUGGACGUGUCCAACAAUUAGCUCCAGGAGCUCACCUCCAGAUUGUGUCAAAAAGAGCUCAGAUAUGGUCUGCUUCAGCAUCAUUUAGUGAUGAGGAAAGCAAGCAAGGGAGGAUAGGGCACUGUCAAAAUCGAUAGCCAAUCUGACAGGAAGAAGCUGGAUGUUUGGCGUGUUCCAGAUUAUUUUAGUG
ensembl:lncRNA